CCCCUUGUCAGACUUGGGAAGCGCAGUAACUGACAUACAGUAAUGACUAAUCGAUUAUCUGUUUAGAAUAUGUGUGUGUGUAGUUCCAAAAACGAUUUAGAGCGACCGGCAGAGUGCUCCAGGCAGAAAAUCGUUCCCACAGGAACAAGAGUCUGCAGGGAGAGGAGUACCAGCUCCAGUGGACCGCUGACUGCGAGAGGGAGGGACUCAGCCGAGGAUGGCAGCGCAGUUCUGCUCGGGACAUCUGUCCUGGGAGCCCGAAGGGGCGAAGAGUGCCUUCGUGGGCACUGAGCUAAGGACUGACAGAUCGACAGAGAUGUCCCAGCAUCCUCGAGGGUGCUGGGCUGCGCUUGAUGUUCCCAGCGAGGAAGUCCUGAGUUGCCACUGGACCUUUAGCCAUUUCCAUUACUUUGGACGUAGAAUCUCAGACCCCUCAAGAGGAUGGCAUGAAUGAUUAAGCUUUCUGUACAGAUGCCUGAUUAUGCUCUGUGGUCGUGAUACUGGUCCACUGCAUUCUCUCCAGGGUCUGAAAUGCUUCUGCACAGAUCACAUGAUCUCCAUGAUGAUAUAACAGAAAGGCUGAAAAGACCUCAUGGUACAGUUGGCCAGAGAGAUGACUGGACAAUCGAUCUCAAAGUGGCGAAGAUCUGGAUUUCUAGACUUCCCUGAAUUCUCCAACUUCUCACAAGCAAGCAAAUGAUCCGAAAGGAGGACUGAGUCCAAAUAUGCAAACAGACAAUGAUUGGACCACAUGUAAACUGAGAAAAUCUGACCCACACCUCUGCAGGAACCAGUCCAGAAUGGUCAGGGCUGGUCCAGUUUUCCCACUUUUGUUAUUUCCAAAUCAGGACCAACCAGAGAAAGCCAAGUAUAUUGCCAAAGCCAAUCUCAUAAGAUGCCUGGCUUCUAGGUAGCCUACCUCCAGAUUCCCCGUGCCAACAACCUCCAGUCACAACAUGCCUGAAGCCUCCCUCCCUCACCUCCUUUUUAAACUAUAAAUCUUUUCCCCUCCUCUGCCUGCUUUACAUUUAUUUUAAAAGCAAGUGAUGGUGGUUGACUCCCUCGCUAUAGCAAGUCCAGAAUAAACAACCUCUGUUCAUUUUCAUUUGGAUGGUCUUUACUUGCUUCUGUGAAACUAAAGAUUAUAUGUAAUUGGACUUCUCUUAAAAAAAUACAAU